CCCCGUUGCUUAUGCCUCAGCAGAGACAACGGGGUCUUCUUUCCGUCUGCAACGAGGGUCUGCUCGUG
rnacentral:ncRNA from 1 species